CACGUAGGGCGCAAGCGUUGUCCGGAAUUAUUGGGCGUAAAGAGCGCGCAGGCGGUCGUUCAAGUCGCGUGUGAAAGCCCCCGGCUCAACUGGGGAGGGUCACGCGAUACUGAUCGACUCGAAGGCAGGAGAGGGAAGUGGAAUUCCCGGUGUAGUGGUGAAAUGCGUAGAUAUCGGGAGGAACACCAGUGGCGAAGGCGACUUCCUGGCCUGUUCUUGACGCUGAGGCGCGAAAGCUAGGGGAGCAAACGGG
rnacentral:rRNA from 1 species